GACAGAGGGUGCAAGCGUUGUUCGGAUUCAUUGGGCGUAAAGGGUGCGUAGGCGGCGCGGUAAGUCGGGUGUGAAAUCUCGGAGCUUAACUCCGAAACUGCAUUCGAUACUGCCGUGCUUGAGGACUGGAGAGGAGACUGGAAUUUACGGUGUAGCGGUGAAAUGCGUAGAUAUCGUAAGGAAGACCAGUGGCGAAGGCGGGUCUCUGGACAGUUCCUGACGCUGAGGCACGAAGGUCAGGGGAGCAAACGGG
rnacentral:rRNA from 1 species